CUGGUAGAGUUUGGCUUUUGCUUCUCCCCUGCCAUUCUCUUCGGACAAACUGUGCCUGUUCCUAUAGAGCAGCAACAAAGAUCUCCAGGACAUACAGAGAGAAAAAUACAAACAGAUAUUUGAAGGUAAGGCGAACACAGAGACAUGGGUGCCUGGAGGCAGAGAAAGAUUUAUUCAAAUUGGCCAAAACAAGAAGGAGGAGGAUAGGUUCUCUCAAAUCCACCUUCACAAGAGAGGAAGCAAUAACAGGCUGUGAAUUUUCUCGCCUCAGGAGAGGUACAGGACAGGCAGGAGGGCAGAGUCAGCCUGCCAAACUUUUACCUGUUUUUGUGGCCCACACACCUGAGCUAAGCGAGGAUCACACGACGUUCAGGAGGACGCAGGGGCCCUGGAGGAGCAGGGGCAGGAGAGGCUCCCCCGUCGGAGGUCCACGAGGGCCGGAGCUGUGCUGAGAAUCUACGCGGGAAGCAAACACCGCUCCAUGGUGGAGCCCGAGGAGGGGCCCAAAUACUCUCACGAGGAAGCAUCUUGAGGGAACUCCACUGAUGGGUGCCCCACAGCCAGCUCCUCCCUUCGAAUUCGCGAUGCUGAGCCUGGAGCUUAUCUGAGGCUUCCUAGAAAGAAC
rnacentral:lncRNA from 1 species